GGAUAAACGCCGGCGGUGUGCCUAAUACAUGCAAGUCGUACGCAGGUGCUUGCAUCUGAGUGGCGGACGGGUGAGUAACACGUAGGUAACCUGCCCCGGAGCGGGGGAUAACAUUUGGAAACAGAUGAUAAUACCGCAUAACAACAAAGCCGCAUGGCUUUUGUUGAAAGAUGUUUGUAUCACUCUGGGAUGGACCUGCGGUGCAUUAGCUAGUUGGUAAGGUAAAGGCUUACCAAGGCGAUGAUGCAUAGCCGAGUUGAGAGACUGAUCGGCCACAAUGGAACUGAGACACGGUCCAUACUCCUACGGGAGGCAGCAGUAGGGAAUCUUCCACAAUGGGCGCAAGCCUGAUGGAGCAACACCGCGUGAGUGAAGAAGGGUUUCGGCUCGUAAAGCUCUGUUGGUAGUGAAGAAAGAUAGAGGUGUAAGCCUUUAUUUGACGGUAAUUACUUAGAAAGUCACGGCUAACUACGUGCCAGCAGCCGCGGUAAUACGUAGGUGGCAAGCGUUAUCCGGAUUUAUUGGGCGUAAAGCGAGCGCAGGCGGUUGCUUAGGUCUGAUGUGAAAGCCUUCGGCUUAACCGAAGAAGUGCAUCGGAAACCGGGCGACUUGAGUGCAGAAGAGGACAGUGGAACUCCAUGUGUAGCGGUGGAAUGCGUAGAUAUAUGGAAGAACACCAGUGGCGAAGGCGGCUGUCUGGUCUGCAACUGACGCUGAGGCUCGAAAGCAUGGGUAGCGAACAGGAUUAGAUACCCUGGUAGUCCAUGCCGUAAACGAUGAGUGCUAGGUGUUGGAGGGUUUCCCCCUUCAGUGCCGGAGCUAACGCAUUAAGCACUCCGCCUGGGGAGUACGACCGCAAGGUUGAAACUCAAAGGAAUUGACGGGGGCCCGCACAAGCGGUGGAGCAUGUGGUUUAAUUCGAAGCUACGCGAAGAACCUUACCAGGUCUUGACAUCUUGCGCUAACCUUAGAGAUAAGGCGUUCCCUUCGGGGACGCAAUGACAGGUGGUGCAUGGUCGUCGUCAGCUCGUGUCGUGAGAUGUUGGGUUAAGUCCCGCAGCGAGCGCAACCCUUGUUACUAGUUGCCAGCAUUAAGUUGGGCACUCUAGUGAGACUGCCGGUGACAAACCGGAGGAAGGUGGGGACGACGUCAGAUCAUCAUGCCCCUUAUGACCUGGGCUACACACGUGCUACAAUGGCGGUACAAUGAGUCGCAAGCUCGCGAGAGUGAGCUAAUCUCUUAAAGUACGUCUCAGUUCGGAUUGUAGUCUGCAACUCGACUACAUGAAGUCGGAAUCGCUAGUAAUCGCGGAUCAGCACGCCGCGGUGAAUACGUUCCCGGGUCUUGUACACA
rnacentral:rRNA from 2 species